rnacentral:rRNA from 1 species
UGGGGGAUAUUGCACAAUGGGCGAAAGCCUGAUGCAGCGACGCCGCGUGGGGGAUGAAGGCCUUCGGGUUGUAAACUUCUUUUGCUCUGAACAAGGCAUGCUAAUGGGUGUGUUGAGUGUAGGGGUUGAUUAGCGCCGGCUAACUACGUGCCAGCAGCCGCGGUAAUACGUAGGGGGUGCGCGUUGUCCGGAAUUAUUGGGCGUAAAGGGCUCGUAGGUGGCUGGUUGCGUCUGUCGUGAAAGCUCAUGGCUUAACUGUGGGUUUGCGGGGGGUACGGGCUAGGUUGAGUGCAGUAGGGGAGGCUGGGAUUCCUGGUGUAGCGGUGGAAUGCGCAGAUAUCAGGAGGAAUACCGGUGGCGAAGGCGGGUCUCUGGGCUGUUACUGACACUGAGGAGCGAAAGCAUGGGGAGCGAACAGG